CUUGUCUUUAAUGACAGACACAUUACAGGUUAUGCUCCGGAAGAUGGAGACAUUGGAGGAGAACCAGCGAGAGGCUCUCCUAUUCAGGCGACUACAGGGCAGACACACUGAAGAGGUGCCAGUGAUGGACCUACAGGUGGCCCAAACACAGGCUGAACUCCAAGACCUUGAGGAGCGCCUUAAGGUGCUGGAGUUGCGAAAGAGAGUGACGCUGUGAUGAAGUGGAAGACGGGACUGGGAGAGAAAGCUGUGGAGCUCCUCAUAGAGGAGACACUCAAACACACCCCGGCAGCCCAUUCAAAACAAGCCAGGGCCAACAGACAGGACCUGUAGCGGGGACUGGCAGAAGAUUUUAAUUCACUGUUUGGCACUUUGUUUGAAAUAAAAUGACAAUGUUACAUGGAAA